rnacentral:rRNA from 1 species
AUUGAACACUGGCGGCAGGCCUAACACAUGCAAGUCGAAUGGUAAUAGGAAACAGCUUGCUGUUUCGCUGACGAGUGGCGGACGGGUGAGUAAUGUCUGGGAAACUGCCUGAUGGAGGGGGAUAACUACUGGAAACGGUAGCUAAUACCGCAUAACGUCGCAAGACCAAAGAGGGGGACCUUCGGGCCUCUUGCCAUCAGAUGUGCCCAGAUGGGAUUAGCUAGUAGGUGGGGUAACGGCUCACCUAGGCGACGAUCCCUAGCUGGUCUGGGAGGAUGACCAGCCACACUGGAACUGAGACACGGUCCAGACUCCUACGGGAGGCAGCAGUGGGGAAUAUUGCACAAUGGGCGCAAGCCUGAUGCAGCCAUGCCGCGUGUAUGAAGAAGGCCUUCGGGUUGUAAAGUACUUUCAGCGGGGAGGAAGGGAGUAAAGUUAAUACCUUUGCUCAUUGACGUUACCCGCAGAAGAAGCACCGGCUAACUCCGUG